rnacentral:tRNA from 1 species
GGCGGUUUAGCUCAGCUGGUUAGAGCGACGGAAUCAUAAUCCGCAGGUCCGGGGUUCAAGUCCCUGAACCGCUA